rnacentral:rRNA from 1 species
GAGUUUGAUCCUGGCUCAGAUUGAACGCUGGCGGCAUGCCUUACACAUGCAAGUCGAACGCGAAAGGGGGAGCAAUCCCCCCGGUAGAGUGGCGAACGGGUGAGUAAUAUAUCGGAACGUGUCCAGUAGCGGGGGAUAACCUCUCGAAAGAGAGGCUAAUACCGCAUACGACCUACGGGUGAAAGGGGGGGAUCGCAAGACCUCCCACUAUUGGAGCGGCCGAUGUCGGAUUAGCUAGUUGGCGGGGUAAAAGCCCACCAAGGCGACGAUCCGUAGCUGGUCUGAGAGGACGGCCAGCCACACUGGAGCUGAGACACGGUCCAGACUCCUACGGGAGGCAGCAGUGGGGAAUUUUGGACAAUGGGCGCAAGCCUGAUCCAGCCAUGCCGCGUGAGUGAAGAAGGCCUUCGGGUUGUAAAGCUCUUUCGGCGGGGACGAAAAGGUCCGUGCUAACACCACGGAUCCAUGACGGUACCCGCAGAAGAAGCACCGGCUAACUACGUGCCAGCAGCCGCGGUAAUACGUAGGGUGCAGGCGUUAAUCGGAAUUACUGGGCGUAAAGCGUGCGCAGGCGGUUUGUUAAGACAGAUGUGAAAUCCCCGGGCUUAACCUGGGAACUGCGUUUGUAACUGGCAAGCUAGAGUGUGGCAGAGGGGGGUGGAAUUCCACGUGUAGCAGUGAAAUGCGUAGAGAUGUGGAGGAACACCGAUGGCGAAGGCAGCCCCCUGGGCUAACACUGACGCUCAUGCACGAAAGCGUGGGGAGCAAACAGGAUUAGAUACCCUGGUAGUCCACGCCCUAAACUAUGUCAACUGGUUGUCGGGGAAGCAAUUCCUUGGUAACGAAGCUAACGCGUGAAGUUGACCGCCUGGGGAGUACGGCCGCAAGGUUAAAACUCAAAGGAAUUGACGGGGACCCGCACAAGCGGUGGAUUAUGUGGAUUAAUUCGAUGCAACGCGAAAAACCUUACCUACCCUCGACAUGCCAGGAACCCUCCAGAGAUGGAGGGGUGCCCGAAAGGGAACCUGGACACAGGUGCUGCAUGGCUGUCGUCAGCUCGUGUCGUGAGAUGUUGGGUUAAGUCCCGCAACGAGCGCAACCC